rnacentral:lncRNA from 1 species
CAGAGACACAGAGGAGAAGACUGAGAGGGAGACCAUGUGAAGACAGAGGCAGAGAUGAGAGUGAUGCCUCUGCACACUGGAGAAUGCUGCAUUGCCAGCAAGCACAGGAAGCUAGGAGAGAGGCAUUGAACAGAUUCUUCCUCCAAGCCUCCAGAAAAAGCAGCCCGGUAGACACCUUGAUAUCAGACUUCUGGCCUCCAGAAAAAACGUGGGGGUCCUCUCCUAUCUCGUUUUUGGUUCUCUGUUAUCUUCUCCACUGAGAAUCCACCUUUGAGAGUGAACUCUUCAAAGAAAAGGACCACAUUUUCUCCAUCAUUGGACCCAUCAUGCAGCAUCUAGUGCAAUGCCUGGCACUUAGCAGUCAUUCUUCACACUGUCUACCACUAUGAUAAAAAGUUACAUGAGAAUGUUUCCACCCGGCUUAUCCUAAACCUGAAGGCUCAUGAUGCCAAAAUAAAAAAAUGGAUUUACCUAUAUGAAGAUAAGAAUUAUCAAGACAAUGAAGCAAUGGAGUGUUUCUGGUUGAGUUGAAUGCUUGAGUUGAACGCCCAAGAUAAUAUAGUAUAGUGAUUAAGCACCUGAGUUCUACAGACAGAUGGACCUCAGUUUGCAAUCAAGUUCUGCCCACUAUUAGUUUAUGUGACCUUAACUGACAUCUCCAAACCUCAGUUUUUUUAAUCUGUACAAUGUGUACCUACCCACAAUGGAGGCAAAGUAUUCCACAGUGCCCGGCACAAUAAAAAUGCAAUUAAUGAUAAAGCUUUUUUCUCUCACGCACAGACUCUCAGUGUCUCUCAUGUAUGGUUGUCUGCCAGUUCAUUUUUGGAUUGCAAGGGUUCUCAAGAAAAGCUAGGUUUGGUCUAAAAUUCAAUCCUUUCUUCUAGAAAAUGGUCACUGGGCAUACAGACAUAGCUUUAUAUAUGACUAGGGGCU